CCUACGGGUGGCAGCAGUGAGGAAUAUUGGUCAAUGGACGCAAGUCUGAACCAGCCAAGUAGCGUGAAGGAUGACUGCCCUAUGAGUUGUAAACUGCUUUUAUAAAGGGGUAAAACGAGGCACGUGUGCCUUUUUGCAUGUACUUUAUGAAUAAGGAUCGGCUAACUCCGUGCCAGCAGCCGCGGUAAUACGGAGGAUCCGAGCGUUAUCCGGAUUUAUUGGGUUUAAAGGGAGCGUAGAUGGGUUGUUAAGUCAGUGGUGAAAGUUUGCGGCUCAACCGUAAAAUUGCAAUUGAUACUGGCAGUCUUGAGUACAGUUGAGGUAGGCGGAAUGCGUGGUGUAGCGGUGAAAUGCUUAGAUAUCACGCAGAACCCCGAUUGCGAAGGCAGCUUACUAAACUGUGACUGACAUUGAUGCUCGAAAGUGUGGGGAUCAAACAGGAUUAGAUACCCGGGUAGUC
rnacentral:rRNA from 1 species